AAGUCGUAACAAGGUUUCCGUAGGUGAACCUGCGGAAGGAUCAUUAACAAACGCAGAGCUUUAUUGCUCGCAACCUUUGUGAAUUGGCUCUCUCUGAAACUUUUUAAAAAGUUUUGGGUGCAGAUCUAGCUUAGCUUAGGAGCAUUUGAGUGGAGCUUCGGCGACAGUCAGUUGUCUACUAGGUCUAGUAAAGCAAGAGAGUUUGUUGGGCGUCCCAAGUGAUAGUGUUGAACUCUCUAUUGGUUAGUUAAUGUUAAUUAAUCAAUCAAUAGAAAGGGAAGGCUGUCACCUUAAAAUAGUCUGAUAUUAAUUAAAACGAAAGUUUUAGUAAACAUUAUACAACUUUUAACAAUGGAUCUCUAGGCUCUU
rnacentral:misc_RNA from 1 species